rnacentral:lncRNA from 1 species
GAGGCCUGCUAUGUCAAAAACGAGAAAAAACCCCAUCCUCUCUUUCUUUUUUGUUAGUAUAUAUCACCGUAAUCAAAGUGAGGGAUGGCAUUUGAAACUUUUAACACAAAAUAAUUAAGCAAAUUACAUUCUUGGUCCCUGAACUAAGUCGGAUUUUCUUAAAUAGUCCAUAAACUACAAAAGCUAAAGUUUGGUCCCCAAACUAUCUGAAUC